UUCGUCUAGCCGUGUACGAAGCGAAAAGAAAAGCAACCUCUCGUCGCCUCCGUCUAACGUCAUCACUCGCUAUAGAUUCCCGAGCUCGACAAACGGAUCCACCGUGCUCGAUCUCGGUUUACGUGUUUCAGUAGAGCUUUCGCUGGUCUCAAGGAUAAACCAGUCGUUCAGUUAUUCCGGGUAGAGAGACGAAUAUCGUGUUUAUGGUGUUAGUCUGUGCCGAGGAUUUUAAGGUCUGGUAUCGUUGUUCUACAUCUUCCUUGCCGCUAAUGAACGUGGAUCCUGUGGCUCCUGAGAAGGAUCCAAGCUAUUACGUUCGAGGUCUAAUAUCGUAACUGUUGCUCAAAGCAAUUUGGAUUCGUGUACAUGCAUAGUCGUCUAUACAUGGUGUAAAGGGUGCGUUACGAGAGCAGUGAGAUUAUAUUGCGUUCGUAGCUUGACAGGAAAUUCGCUCGGGGUGGUAGAGGAGAAUAUUUGAAAUGGAAGUUUCUAUCAAACUGCAACGAUUGUACCCUUUGUAGCACAGCUACGUAUAAUAGCAUAUUAUAAACCGAUCAAAUCGAUUUUUUAAGAUUGAUAUACAACAAUGAAACUGGAAUUUGUAAUUGUCAAACCUUAUAGAAGCAUCUUGUUGCUUAACAAAUUCUUUAUCUUCGCGUUCUCUUCAACUUUUUAAUUAUAUGUCUCGGUGAAAAUUUCAAGCUAUUUCAAAUUUUAUCAAUACGAUCAUGAUAGACGUGUUCCAUUACAGUGGUAACGAAAUUUCAAGAAGUUUUGUAUAAUAAGCAUAUUCGUCAAAGUUCUCUAUGAUAAGUGUUCAAAUAGUCGUACUUUCGCACAGCCACUGUGAGGUAAUUUAAUUUAAAAAGUUGUAUGUUUACAGAUACUUGGCAUAAAAGUGAUACAUAUGGUUACUGGUAUUGUUCCACUUGAAAACGAACUUCCGCUUUUGAAUGAAGUUUAUUGUCGAACUGCAUCAAACUAUGUCCUUUUCCUUAUACGCGCUUCCCACAAUAGCUAGCUAUUCGAUUGAUUUUACCAAGUUCCUCGAUAUAAUCAAGCCAACUUGAAAUAUUCCAGCCACCUUUAUUAUGCUUUUCUAUAAAUAAACGACCUUGAGAGAAUAGAUCCCAAAUCUGUUAUCGUUGCCGCUGAUUUACGACUUCAAUUAGAAUUUUAUCGAUUCCAUUACGAAAUACUUACGUGUCUAUCAUCGAGAAAUAGUUGAAAAAUAUAGUUAGAGUACGUUGGAAUAAUCAAUAUCUUCUCUGACAAUUGCUAACAUAUGAUCUUGCAUAUUAAAACGUUCUUGUAUAAUCAUAGGAAGAUGAAUAGUACUCGAAGUUAGUGCAAGGAGGACUCUCGAAUCCAUGAAUGCAAUUCGCAUUCCUUUUAUGGUAAAAUUUGAAACAAAUCUGAAAAUGUAUAUAUAUGUAUACUUGUAGAAGUUGCAAGAUAUUUAUACGAAAAAUGGUCUUAGACAUACAAUUAUUGCUAAAGAUAAUCCUAUUAAAUAUCAUGGCUUAUUAAUAUGUAUUACAUUGUUCCAAAAAUUUCUUUCGUUUUAUAAGAAAAUAAUAGAUGCACAGUAUUUCGUAGUAAUAAAACAAAAUGGAUCAUACGUAAUUCAAUAAAAUAAUAUAAAACAAAAAAUGACGCGCAUCUGUUAUUUCCUUACAAAAUGACAGAAAUUUUUAGGACAACCUAAUAAGACCAUUUUUCGUAUAAAUAUCUUGCAACUUUUACAAGUAUACAUAUAUACACAUUUUCACAUUUAUUUCAAACUUCGUUGAUAUAAUCGAAAACAGUCGAGUCUCGUUACAGUGCUAAUGAAACUUCAAAAUGUUUCGUAUAGGACGCACAAUGUAUUCGCGAAAGGUACUAGCGCUCGAAUACCUUCGUAAACAACUACAAAUUUCGUCAUUGUUCGCAAAGUUCGAUAUUAAAUGUUAAAAUGACGAAGCUUAAGUGACUCGAACGAUCCUACCUUAUUAUAUUUCCGGGUGAAAUCUUGGAUUUACCGCACACCGUGUGUGCAAUAGUGUGCAUGGAUCGGAUCAGUAACGUACGCUGCCGUGUACAUUGUUUAUUUUCACCGGAGGCAAAACGUAUAGGAUGCUCGACGUGUAUUUACCACGGAUAACGGAACCAUGCCGAUGCUCGAGUCUUCCUCGUUGCGCGUGCGAGUUCGAGCGAGAAAACGGGACAGGCAUAAGGAGAAAGACGACCAACGAUGGAAAGAAACGAGGAAGAAACCCGUAUAGUGUAUCGUCAUCCGAACGAAUCCGGACUCACAGAGAAUUUCUUCGAUCGAAGAUUACAUCCCUCACGCGACGAGCGUUUUUGAUGGGUAACGGUAGUCGAUACGCGACUACGCUCGUCUUCAUCUAUCUGAGAAAUUACGUACAUCGUCUUACGACGGAUUCGAUAUCUCUGACCGUUUAAGCGGAAAUUAGAUCUCAGCCAACUCGACCUAUCACUGAGGAUAUAAGAGAUAAUUAACGCCUGUAGUGGCUGGACCUUGUUAAACUUACAUUAUGUGAUUUUAAGUCUUUCGACUGGUGUGUCGUUAAGCUACUGGGUAUCAUGACAAUUUAGGGUUAGACUACUCAGUUUUUGAACUUUUAAUGCAAUUGAACUUUACUAACGAUUUCUAUUACGGAGGAAGCAAAGUAUAAAAUAAAAUUAAAUAGCUGGAAUUUUGGUAAUCUAACGUAAAUUAUUACAAUCAUCUAUAAGCAAACGACUAAACAUGCAGAAGGUAUAAUUAUUUACGACGGUCGAUACUUUUAAUGCCUUCAAUAUUUUAGUAUUACGACUAGGUAUCCUGAAAAUUUUAAAGGGGAUGAAAGAAUCAAACAAGAAUAGAAUUUUUCUUCAUUUCCAUGAAGUGUUAAAUACGAAAAGCAAGUAUUUAAUAUAGUAUCAUCUAUAUUUUGAUAAUAUUUAAUAUUUCCAUCGAAAUAUAAUUUUUAUUUCGAGUCGUAUAGAUGCGAGAAGAACGAUAAUAACUAAUUAUAAUAAUUGAAUUACACACUUGAAAGAAAAUGUUAUUGAUAAAUAAGACGAAGCUUCAAGAUCUCCUUUUCUUCCGGUAGCACGGGCAACAACCGGAAGAAAGGAACAAAGGCGGCUAGAAGAAACAUUUAAAGCGUCCAGCCAAUAGGACCUACACUUUUAGUAGCAAGUAUAAGAGACGUGAAUUAAGAAUUCCCUGAAAGUCGGGAUGGUCUCGAAUAAACAACUCUUCAGACUUGCACCAGUUUGAAAAGAGAGUUUAAUAAGUUGCUCCACAAAUAUUUUAAAGAAAAAGUUUAAUAAAAGUUUCCCUAUUACGCGCUCGUUCGAUAAAAUAUAUUCUUUUUUUAUAUCCUUACCUCCGAGAGAUCGUAUACACGCGCGCUCAAAUAAAACGAGAACGAUUUUAAUCCAAGUGUGUCGGUUGCAAGUUCGUAAUUAUUUAGUUUUUCAUUUUCUUGCGUUGAAAACCUUCCGAACUGCGUGAUAAAAUUUACAUGUUUAGGGAAAAUUAAAAAUACAAAAAGCUCGAAACCAUGUUCAUUUAAGUCUAUAGCAAAACAAAUUUCUCAUUAGUAGGGGACAAUACUACUCGUACAAUUGGUUUACUGCAGAAAUAAAACACAGAAAUAUUUUCGGAGAUUAAUCCGCAAAUAGUAUAUGAUAUUUAAAAGAGGAUUUUAAGAAAAUUUUGGAAACAGAUUGAGAAGAUGCAGAACCAAAUUUCCUUAAAAAUUUAAUUAACGAUAAAUUGGAUGCAGUUAUUUGAAGAAGAAUGUUCGGAAUAAUACUUAUUAUACAUUAAUUAAUGGUAUUAAUUAAUGGUAUUGUAUAAAUAUUCCUGUCUCGACGAAAUGUUACCAUUAUAUGUAUCACAUUAUAUAUAUUUAAAUAUGUUUGUUAUUCUUUAUUUUAUUUAUUUUACUUAGUCCUUCUCUCUCGGAAUUUAAACGAAUUUUCGGUUUUACAUUAUAUUACAUUCUUUAAUUGUUUGGUUUAUCUUAAAACCCCCAAUUCACUACACGUAUAACAAUCAAUAAAAUAUAAAAUAUUAAACAACUAUAUAUGUACACCAUGUAUAACAAAUAAUAACAUCUUAUUUGAAACGCAAAAGAAUAAAUAUUUAAAUAUAUUUAACAAUAUAGAGAAUAUUUACUCCUCCUCUGACUCCUAUAUUCCAACUACAAAUAUCUUUGUCUCUCACUUCGACAAUGAAUAAAAUAUAACACAGUCCUCUGGGUAUUGAUGCUAUUAGUACGUAUUUUUAAAUGCAAUCAAUUAGUCUUUGCUAUUAUUUUAUUCAAAUUCGUUGCAAGAAUUCGUUAUUAUAUUCUAACUAUAUCGAACGAUUUUCAAUGUAAAUCCCUGUAUUAUUCAUUUCUCCACAAAAACCAUUGUCUGCUCUCGAGCUACUGUAAAUUCGUGCGUAACGAUAACACAGUUACCCUCUUCGACUCGAUGUUCUCGGAUAUAAAAUUUCCAUGAAUUUAAUAAUUCCUACUAACAAGACUGGAACGUUUCACAGCGGUAUUUUUACAAAUUUCACGAUAUCCGACUUGGUGUUACGGCGUAAUGUAAGAGUAAAGUCGGCUCGAUACAACUGACCCGUAAUUAACGGGAAAGGUAUUGACAAAAAGUUCAAUGGCGUAAGCCAGAUUUAAUUAAUAACCGUCGAACGUGGCUGCCGGCGUCGGUCUCGAGGAACGGAAUAAUUUUUUCUACGAUAAUCGCAUUUUUUAAAUUAAUUUCCGGCUGGUCGCGGCGGCUCGUGUUUUCUGUCCUUGAUAUUUCUGACGAUUUCCGUGACGAGGAACUUGAUGGUCCUCCAGCGUGUCCCUAAAGCGACUUUUUCAUCUGUUGGAACCGAAUAUACUCCCCUCCGCGGUCGAUACGAAAUCACAAAGGUUAGAACGUAAUUUCAAGAGAACAAAGAAGCGAGACUAGUGGCGGCUCUUUUUUUAAAUUUCGUUUCGAAAUUCUCAACUUCCGCCACUAUUAACGACGCGAUCGAAUUUCAACUUCUGUCGAACAAAUCUCCUUCACAUGAGACAUAACCCCGUAGUCCUAUAUUCGAGAUUCUAUGACUCAAAAUAUGUCGAAAAUCAAGAAUAACCAAAUACGUCAAAUUAUUUAAAAGAUUGAGCGUGAAUUAUAGGUAUCAUGUAUACGUGGACUUUGUCUACUCUUAACUAUGCAGAAGCAGACAAUCGGCAGGGGAUUGGCCUACAUGAGAAAAUACGUUGAAAAUGUAGAAUGAAGUUUCCUUCUGUAAGUCCGCGUGUUUUAGAAAUAGAAUCGAUUGUUAUCGAUGUGAAACUGUAAUUAUAGUAACGUUACUAAUUACUUCUACAUAUUACUUCUACAUAUUGCCGAUAACACUGUAUGUAUACAAUUUUCUAAAGAUGUAUCCCAAGUGAUUCAAUGUGACAUGCUAUUUGCAUCGUUAUAGCGCAAAGAUUCAAUUAGAACGAAUAAAUAUCGACCACGAUAUCAUCUUUAUAAAAAGAAUGGAACUGGUUUCUACGAAUUCUGUUAACUGAUACGUUUCACGCUAUAAUUACAAUAGUUUUGACGCAUCAGUCGAUUUAAGGAUCACAGAAAGACGUAAAUAAUCCAUGAGAUAAAAAGAAGAAAUAAAUUAAAAAAGAUACCAACUUAACCUUAUUUACAAAAAGAACAUGAAUAUAUAAAAGGAGAAAAUAAAUGUGAGACUUCAUCAUAGCUUAAAAAAGAAUAACACGUGCAGAACAAAUGUAUUUGCAGGAUCAUUUUCAUGGACAUUUUGAUACACGUUAUUCAUAAUGUCGGCUCAUUGUUAUUCGUAUCGUUGGUAACUCGGCAAGUCAUACUCUUAUUAAAUAUCCAGCUAUCCAAGAGAGUCUCGAUUAAAUUACUCGCAAUCAAAAUCAUCGUAAUUUUUUAUUCUUUUGUCUCUUGUUAUGAAAUUGCAUAAAUAUCCUUAGUCUGGUUAUCGAGCAAUCUCUGCCAUUAAGCAUUAUGGAAAUUUCGAUCGAUAAGAAAUCAUCAACUCGUGACUUCUAUGACUUGUACGUAAAUGAGUAAAGGCAUGCUCGUGUGUACUCGUGACAGAAAAAAGUGAUUAUAAACAAUAUGAAUGUUGUACGUGGAAGCUAGUACAGUUCUCCUUGUAACCUAAUCAAACUCACUCGUACGAUUUCACCAGUACGUAAUGAAAUGCUAUGUAGAAUUUCAAUCGAAUUAUCGCGAAUCGAUUCGAAAUGGACUUGCACAAAUUAUGAUUAUUGUACCGAAACCCAAGGCGGGAUAAUUGUCAUAAUCGUAAACAAUUGAAGUUACCUAAAGAAAAAUGUAUUGUAUUUCUUACCCAAUAUAUUAUAUAAGUUGAUAAUUGAAUGUAAAAUAAUUAGAUAAUUCUUGAGUCCAGGAUUUAAGCUUAUAAUCAUUAUUAUUAUAUUCUCUUUAUUAUGUAUUUUAGAUAAAUUGAUUAAGUAACGAAAAAAGAAGACAGUCAAUGCACUUCUUUACUGAAGGAAUGAAAAUUCAUCAUGGUGGGGCAAUAAAUACAUAAAUAUGAUACUAUAUAUGUAUGUACGAUGGUAUACAAUGACGGACAAAAGAAAAAGUCACACUUGUGUAUAAUAAUCACAGUACAUUAAUACUAACUUUGUUCUAAAUUUUUUACCAUGCUGGUAAUAGUCAUUUAUUCCACAGAUAUACGUCACAAUUUAAUUGUUCUCGUCAAUUAUAGCUCUGUUGUCUAAAAUUAUGGUGAUUUUCAUAUAUUCUUUUGUCCUCCACUAUACAUUGCAUAAUAUUAUUAUACAUAUUUAUAAUAUACUAUGUACGCAUAAAUUUUUGUACUUCCAGUUAUGACAUACCAUCAAGCACAUCACUAAAGUGUACCAAAAUCGAUAAUAACAUAAUUACACAUUCUUUUGACAGAAAUCAGUCAUUAACUGGUUAAAACCAAUCACACGUGUGAAACGAGGAAAUACGUACACAUAAAUCAUACGCUCGUCACACUUCUAUUAGUUAAACCAUGUUCUGGGUUCACAAUUGGAUAACUAGCAGAAGAUCGUGUAAAAACACGUAGAAAACCUAUGUUUAAGGGCCACGAUAGUGGGCGAAAAAUUCGCCACGGAGGAUGUCGUCCGUUAAAAACAAUUGACUAUGAUUUAAGAUGAAAACGGGGUCACAUAGAUCCGAGUGGAACGAGAGAAUCAACGGUCGCCGUACGCGUGUACCGAGAUACUUCGAUCGGUGUAUCGAAGGGUUGUUGCCCGGGCUACCGAGUUUUCCGCGAUCGUAAUGAAAGAAAACGUGAAUGGAAUC